UACGAAGGGGGCUAGCGUUGCUCGGAAUUACUGGGCGUAAAGCGCACGCAGGUGGCUGAGAAAGUCGAUUGUGAAAGCCCUGGGCUUAACCUGGGAAUUGCAGUCGAAACUACUCGGCUAGAGUACGGAAGAGGCGAGUGGAAUUCCUGGUGUAGCGGUGAAAUGCGCAGAUAUCAGGAGGAACACCAAUUGCGAAGGCAGCUCGCUGGGACGUUACUGACGCUGAGACGCGAAAGCGUGGGGAGCAAACAGG
rnacentral:rRNA from 1 species